ACAGAAACGCCGCUUGGCCUUUGGACUACACCAUCUGUCGCUCGCUCUAACGAGCCGGCGUUGCCGCCAGGGGACGCUCGGGCCGCAGGAGGUCGCUGGGUCGUGAGCUGGCGCCGGGGACGCCGAGCGACUGCGGGGUUUCCCUCAGCGUCCUGCUAUCCGGCUGCCCGCCGCGCUCCUUGGUAGUGUCCGUGGGCGCGCAGGCCUUGAAGAACCUCCUCGUGGCGGGACCCCGAGCGCAGGAGAGGUGUCAAAGAGCUGGCGCGUCUCCAGAGCCCCGGGAGGAAGGCUGUAACGGCAGCCCCAUCGUAGACAGGGACAUUCGCAUCCCGAGCCCUGGAUCUCUGAAAACCAGCCCAGAAUUUGGAAGCUGGAAGGAACUUUAGAUCGUCCAUUCUGAGUGUCUCUCUUCGCUGGCGUUUUCCCACUGAGGUUAUGUAAACAUGAAGAGGAGCCUACAAGUGUCAAGGAAAAAACGACAGCUAACCACAGGGCAGGCCAUGGGCAAGAUAUCUCAGUGUUCUCCGCUCUCAUAGGUCAGGUCACGACCCCCAGGAGACCUGGAGGACUGAAUGCUGCUGCCCCCAAGGAGGAGGCUGCCGUCUUAUCCCAGGAGGGAGAGCAGGAAAAUAAAAAGGUUCAAAAGGAAGUUGCUGCGUAUCCAUCUGAGGCCUCUGAGGACAGCAAAGAGCAAAGGCCCUGGGACCGGGUCUACGUGCCCAUGACAGAGCUCUGGCUGGACUGGUUCUGAGCCUCUAACACCCCCAAGACUCAGAACCGUGAAGAAAAUCUUUCCAAUAAAUCCAAGAGUUGCUGCUGCUAUAGGCCAGGCUGCCACCUUUCGGGGCCUCCGUCUUCAGACAAACCCAGCCUGGCUUCAUCCACACUCCCUGUCCCCACAGCUGCAGGAACAGCACUUCCUGCCACCGAGCCGUGUGACCACAGUGGAUUGUCUCUGGAGGGGCCCAAGGGGGCCCUGGCCACCCUUCUGACUGACUCGGUGCCAGGGGACAGACCAACGUCCCUCUCGUGCUGACAGCCGGGCCGCACCCUGGCAUGAGGGCAUUUACAGAAAUGCUGGCGGAACUGCUGCCAGGGAGGCUGUAGGGUCCUCUGGCAAAAGAGGCCUCAGGUGGCUCCUCAGAGUGUCUGUGGUUCUCUGUCCCAGGCUGUUCCCUAAGAAGGUCUGCCCAGGACUCAGGUAAUCAUAUGCUCAUUAGAAACUCUUGGGCACUGCCUGUGUGCCCAGCCCAGCCCAUUAUGUCGGUGAGGACAGACGUGGAGGACAGCAGUCCCUGCCCUUGGUUGGGGCUCCAGGCCAGCAAGGGCCACAGCCC
rnacentral:lncRNA from 1 species